UCCUAGUGUCAGUCAACCUUUCAAAUCUAAAUUGUUCCAAAUUCAAUGUCUUUCUAUAUGGUAUUAUAUGGGCCAAUAAUGCUAGGACUGUUUUGGAUUUUAUCAGGCGCUGGUUAACGGAGCUUAAUGAUCCGUUCACGAUAAAGACCCCAUUUGUAUCUGUUGUCCGAACAAUCUUUUAACGAACUACAAAAAUUAAACUGUAAAAUGUAAGGAAAACGGUUAAAUUGCGAGUCGAACAGUUGAUGUACGUGGCCUUUCGGUCGCGGUCAAGAAAAAAUAUUGUUUGUGUUGCCAAAAUUGUGGGUGUAGGCCCCAACCUUUUGAUUUCUCAUCGUUCACUAUUAGUCGGCUAUGCUAACUGACUCUAUUGUGCCUCAUUGGACGACCGCUAUUCAGAAAUCAUAGAAACUUCAAGUCUUGUCAAAUUUGCAUCGGACAGGCAGGCAGCAAACAGGCACACAAACGCAGAAAUACUUCUACCCAUACACAAAAUAUGCAAGUGUGCGUGCAUAGCAAGACCAAAAAAUUUUAAAUGUUGCCUACGCUAAGGUACCCUUACCAACGAUAACGAGCUAAAAUGCAACAACUUCGCAUCGACGUGGAAAACCCUUUCAAAAUUUCAUAUUACUCGUCCCUUCAAAAGAGAAGAAAUGCCUCCGACAUUUGAGAAAAAAUUGAAUUUGUGCCAAUUGUUGCUUGUGCGGACACAUACACACAUAUACAUUUAAAUCCUUAGACAUAAUGAGAGAGCAUUGAGAGCACUGAGGUACAAAUCAUUUGGAUGCUAGUAUGCCAAAGCAGUUUCCUGUAGUGGGAGCGAGAUAAAAAACAGCGAUGCCGUUCCACCACACAAAUCAUAUGUAUUUCUUACUCUCUUGCUGUCUGAGCAUGUGAGCGUGUCUCGAACCCGAACAAAAACGAAGACGACUUUGGACCUGCCGACGAAAAUAGGCAUGGACCCAUUCUUUUACUCUAUGUCCAGUCUAUAUGUUCUAUGGUUAGUGGUACAACACAAGUCAUCUUAUAGCAAUUAAAAACUCAGUCUCAGCGGAGACUUCCUCAGAUUUGUAGUUUGUGGGGCCUGUGAAGAUAUACCCUAUGCCUUCAUCAUUAGACUCAGCUCGUCGGAUGUAGUAAAGAAAGGAGCUAGAAGUCCAACAAACAAGGCUGUAAUUUGUAACGGUAACUGGUAUGGUGUCAGUCACUGACGGUGUGGAACGUCAAUUUAAUAGAAGGGUAAUAGAGAUGUUAUUUUAUUCUAAUAUCUGUACUCACCCUACUCCUUACUGUACGACGAACCAAAGAAAUGUUAAACUAUUUAUUUUAGAAUUCAUUUUACUUUAUAUUAAACUUUAUUAUAUUAUUUUCUAA